rnacentral:rRNA from 1 species
CCUACGGGAGGCAGCAGUGAGGAAUAUUGGUCAAUGGGCGCGAGCCUGAACCAGCCAAGUAGCGUGAAGGAUGACUGCCCUACGGGUUGUAAACUUCUUUUAUAAAGGAAUAAAGUGAGGCACGUGUGCCUUUUUGUAUGUACUUUAUGAAUAAGGAUCGGCUAACUCCGUGCCAGCAGCCGCGGUAAUACGGAGGAUCCGAGCGUUAUCCGGAUUUAUUGGGUUUAAGGGGUGCGUAGGCGGCCUUUUAAGUCAGCGGUGAAAGUCUGUGGCUCAACGAUAGAAUUGCCGUUGAAACUGGGGGGCUUGAGUAUGUUUGAGGCAGGCGGAAUGCGUGGUGUAGCGGUGAAAUGCUUAGAUAUCACGCAGAACCCCGAUUGCGAAGGCAGCCUGCCAAGCCAUGACUGACGCUGAUGCACGAAAGCGUGGGGAUCAAACAGGAUUAGAUACCCGGGUAGUC